rnacentral:rRNA from 1 species
UACAGAGGGGGCAAGCGUUGUUCGGAAUUACUGGGCGUAAAGGGCGCGUAGGCGGCCUUCUAAGUCGAACGUGAAAUCCCCGGGCUCAACCCGGGAACUGCGUCCGAUACUGGAAGGCUUGAAUCCGGGAGAGGGAUGCGGAAUUCCAGGUGUAACGGUGAAAUGCGUAGAUAUCUGGAGGAACACCGGUGGCGAAGGCGGCCUGCUGGGCAGUGGCUGACGCUGAGGCGCGACAGCGUGGGGAGCAAACAGG